rnacentral:rRNA from 1 species
UACGGAGGGUGCAAGCGUUAUCCGGAUUUACUGGGUUUAAAGGGUGCGUAGGUGGGUCUGUAAGUCAGUGGUGAAAUCUCCGGGCUUAACCCGGAAACUGCCAUUGAUACUAUAGGUCUUGAAUAUCCUGGAGGUGAGCGGAAUAUGUCAUGUAGAGGUGAAAUGCUUAGAUAUGACAUAGAACACCAAUUGCGAAGGCAGCUCACUACGGGAUUAUUGACACUGAGGCACGAAAGCGUGGGGAUCAAACAGG